rnacentral:rRNA from 1 species
GACGAACGCUGGCGGCGUGCCUAAUACAUGCAAGUUGAGCGAUGAAGAUUGGUGCUUGCACCAAUUUGAAGAGCAGCGAACGGGUGAGUAACGCGUGGGGAAUCUGCCUUUGAGCGGGGGACAACAUUUGGAAACGAAUGCUAAUACCGCAUAAUAACUUUAAACAUAAGUUUUAAGUUUGAAAGAUGCAAUUGCAUCACUCAAAGAUGAUCCCGCGUUGUAUUAGCUAGUUGGUGAGGUAAAGGCUCACCAAGGCGAUGAUACAUAGCCGACCUGAGGGGGUGAUCGGCCACAUUGGGACUGAGACACGGCCCAAACUCCUACGGGAGGCAGCAGUAGGGAAUCUUCGGCAAUGGACGAAAGUCUGACCGAGCAACGCCGCGGGAGUGAAGAAGGUUUUCGGAUCGUAAAACUCUGUUGGUAGAGAAGAACGUUGGUGAGAGUGGAAAGCUCAUCAAGUGACGGUAACUACCCAGAAAGGGACGGCUAACUACGUG